UACGAAGGGGGCUAGCGUUGCUCGGAAUCACUGGGCGUAAAGCGCACGUAGGCGGAUUGUUAAGUCAGGGGUGAAAUCCUGGAGCUCAACUCCAGAACUGCCUUUGAUACUGGCGAUCUUGAGUCCGGGAGAGGUGAGUGGAACUGCGAGUGUAGAGGUGAAAUUCGUAGAUAUUCGCAAGAACACCAGUGGCGAAGGCGGCGAUCUGGGAAGAUACUGACGCUGAGGUGCGAAAGCGUGGGGAGCAAACGGG
rnacentral:rRNA from 1 species